UACGUAAGGACCGAGCGUUGUCCGGAAUCAUUGGGCGUAAAGAGUACGUAGGCGGUCUAGUAAGUUAGAAGUGAAAGGCAAUAGCUCAACUAUUGUAAGCUUCUAAAACUGCUAGACUUGAGAGAUUGAAGGGAAAGUGGAAUUCCUAGUGUAGCGGUGAAAUGCGCAGAUAUUAGGAGGAAUACCAGUAGCGAAGGCGACUUUCUGGCAAUCCUCAGACGCUGAGGUACGAAAGCGUGGGUAGCAAACAGG
rnacentral:rRNA from 1 species